rnacentral:tRNA from 4 species
GAGGGGGGCUCGCCAGCAACGGGGACUGCUAAUCCCCGUAACCUCGGUUGAACUCCGGAGCCCCCUCGGCCU